rnacentral:rRNA from 1 species
GGGAUAUUGCACAAUGGGGGAAACCCUGAUACAGCGACGCCGCGUGAAGGAAGAAGUAUUUCGGUAUGUAAACUUCUAUCAGCAGGGAGGAAAAUGACGGUACCUGACUAAGAAGCUCCGGCUAACUACGUGCCAGCAGCCGCGGUAAUACGUAGGGGGCAAGCGUUAUCCGGAUUUACUGGGUGUAAAGGGAGCGUAGGCGGUAAUGCAAGUCAGAAGUGAAAGCCCGGGGCUCAACUCCGGGACUGCUUUUGAAACUGUGUUACUAGGUUGCAGGAGAGGUAAGUGGAAUUCCUAGUGUAGCGGUGAAAUGCGUAGAUAUUAGGAGGAACACCAGUGGCGAAGGCGGCUUACUGGACUGUAAAUGACGCUGAGGCUCGAAAGCGUGGGGAGCAAAC